UUCGCCCUUAGAGUUUGAUCCUGGCUCAGGACGAACGCUGGCGGCGUGCUUAACACAUGCAAGUCGAGCGAAGCACUUGGAACCGAUCCUUCGGGUGAAGCUCCAUUUGACUGAGCGGCGGACGGGUGAGUAACGCGUGGGUAACCUGCCUCAUACAGGGGAAUAACAGUUUGAAAAGACUGCUAAUGCCGCAUAAGCGCACAGGGCCGCAUGGCCUGGUGUGAAAAACUCCGGUGGUAUGAGAUGGACCCGCGUCCGAUUAGCUAGUUGGUGAGGUAACGGCCCACCAAGGCGACGAUCGGUAGCCGGACUGAGAGGUUGAACGGCCACAUUGGGACUGAGACACGGCCCAGACUCCUACGGGAGGCAGCAGUGGGGAAUAUUGCACAAUGGGGGAAACCCUGAUGCAGCGACGCCGCGUGGAGGAAGAAGGUCUUCGGAUUGUAAACUCCUGUUGUUGGGGAAGAUAAUGACGGUACCCAACAAGGAAGUGACGGCUAACUACGUGCCAGCAGCCGCGGUAAAACGUAGGUCACAAGCGUUGUCCGGAAUUACUGGGUGUAAAGGGAGCGCAGGCGGGCGAUCAAGUUGGAAGUGAAAUCCAUGGGCUCAACCCAUGAACUGCUUUCAAAACUGAUUGUCUUGAGUAGUGCAGAGGUAGGCGGAAUUCCCGGUGUAGCGGUGGAAUGCGUAGAUAUCGGGAGGAACACCAGUGGCGAAGGCGGCCUACUGGGCACCAACUGACGCUGAGGCUCGAAAGUGUGGGUAGCAAACAGGAUUAGAUACCCUGGUAGUCCACACCGUAAACGAUGAUUACUAGGUGUUGGAGGAUUGACCCCUUCAGUGCCGCAGUUAACACAAUAAGUAAUCCACCUGGGGAGUACGACCGCAAGGUUGAAACUCAAAGGAAUUGACGGGGGCCCGCACAAGCAGUGGAGUAUGUGGUUUAAUUCGACGCAACGCGAAGAACCUUACCAAGUCUUGACAUCCCUUGACGAUGCUGGAAACAGUAUUUCUCUUCGGAGCAAGGAGACAGGUGGUGCAUGGUUGUCGUCAGCUCGUGUCGUGAGAUGUUGGGUUAAGUCCCGCAACGAGCGCAACCCUUAUGGUCAGUUACUACGCAAGAGGACUCUGGCCAGACUGCCGUUGACAAAACGGAGGAAGGUGGGGAUGACGUCAAAUCAUCAUGCCCUUUAUGACUUGGGCUACACACGUACUACAAUGGCGUUAAACAAAGAGAAGCAAGACCGCGAGGUGGAGCAAAACUCAGAAACAACGUCCCAGUUCGGACUGCAGGCUGCAACUCGCCUGCACGAAGUCGGAAUUGCUAGUAAUCGCAGAUCAGCAUGCUGCGGUGAAUACGUUCCCGGGCCUUGCACACACCGCCCGUCA
rnacentral:rRNA from 1 species